AUCCUCUGGUGCCUCCUCCAGGAAGCAUGAAGGUUCUGGGUAGAAGAUUCUGCACUGCACAUGAAUGUACAGCUACAGCAUCAAUGUCAACCAAAGGCAAGAUGUAAACAAAAGCACGAUCCACGACAGCAAGAAGACAAAGGCUUUGUUACAACAGAACAGAGCAGAGACAUCCGUGGCUGUCAACUUCUUUAAAGCCAGUAAAUACAGGGCACUUCCAAGCUGGUGAUAGAAAAUGGAAGUUGAAGGUACACGCUUUGCAGUUUGUCUGAUAAAUUCUUUUCAGUAAGUACAGGGGCAAGA